rnacentral:rRNA from 1 species
GAUGAACGCUAGCGGCAGGCCUAACACAUGCAAGUCGAGGGGUAGAAGUUUUCGGACUUUGAGACCGGCGCACGGGUGCGUAACGCGUAUGUAAUCUGCCUUACACUAAGGGAUAGCCCAGAGAAAUUUGGAUUAAUACCUUAUAGUAUAUUGAUGUAGCAUCACAUUAUUAUUAAAGAUUUAUUGGUGUAAGAUGAGCAUGCGUCCCAUUAGCUAGUUGGUAUGGUAACGGCAUACCAAGGCUAUGAUGGGUAGGGGUCCUGAGAGGGAGAUCCCCCACACUGGUACUGAGACACGGACCAGACUCCUACGGGAGGCAGCAGUGAGGAAUAUUGGUCAAUGGGCGCAAGCCUGAACCAGCCAUGCCGCGUGCAGGAUGAAGCAUCUAUGGUGUGUAAACUGCUUUUGUACGGGAAGAAACACCUCUACGUGUAGAGGCUUGACGGUACCGUAAGAAUAAGGAUCGGCUAACUCCGUGCCAGCCGCCGCCGUAA